rnacentral:rRNA from 1 species
GAUGAACGCUGGCGGCGUGCCUAAUACAUGCAAGUCGAGCGAACGGACGAGGAGCUUGCUUCUCUGAUGUUAGCGGCGGACGGGUGAGUAACACGUGGAUAACCUACCUAUAAGACUGGGAUAACUUCGGGAAACCGGAGCUAAUACCGGAUAAUAUUUUGAACCGCAUGGUUCAAUAGUGAAAGACGGUCUUGCUGUCACUUAUAGAUGGAUCCGCGCUGCAUUAGCUAGUUGGUAAGGUAACGGCUUACCAAGGCAACGAUGCGUAGCCGACCUGAGAGGGUGAUCGGCCACACUGGAACUGAGACACGGUCCAGACUCCUACGGGAGGCAGCAGUAGGGAAUCUUCCGCAAUGGGCGAAAGCCUGACGGAGCAACGCCGCGUGAGUGAUGAAGGUCUUCGGAUCGUAAAACUCUGUUAUUAGGGAAGAACAAAUGUGUAAGUAACUAUGCACGUCUUGACGGUACCUAAUCAGAAAGCCACGGCUAACUACGUG